AGUGAACGCUGGCGGUAGGCCUAACACAUGCAAGUCGAACGGCAGCACAGAGGAGCUUGCUCCUUGGGUGGCGAGUGGCGGACGGGUGAGGAAUACAUCGGAAUCUACUCUGUCGUGGGGGAUAACGUAGGGAAACUUACGCUAAUACCGCAUACGACCUACGGGUGAAAGCAGGGGAUCUUCGGACCUUGCGCGAUUGAAUGAACCGAUGUCGGAUUAGCUAGUUGGCGGGGUAAAGGCCCACCAAGGCGACGAUCCGUAGCUGGUCUGAGAGGAUGAUCAGCCACACUGGAACUGAGACACGGUCCAGACUCCUACGGGAGGCAGCAGUGGGGAAUAUUGGACAAUGGGCGCAAGCCUGAUCCAGCCAUACCGCGUGGGUGAAGAAGGCCUUCGGGUUGUAAAGCCCUUUUGUUGGGAAAGAGAUCCAUCUGGUUAAUACCCGGGUGGGAUGACGGUACCCAAAGAAUAAGCACCGGCUAACUUCGUGCCAGCCGCCGCGGUAA
rnacentral:rRNA from 1 species